rnacentral:rRNA from 1 species
CCUACGGGAGGCAGCAGUGAGGAAUAUUGGUCAAUGGACGCGAGUCUGAACCAGCCAAGUAGCGUGAAGGAUGACUGCCCUCUGGGUUGUAAACUUCUUUUAUAUGGGAAUAAAAUGUUCAACGUGUGGGUUUUUGUAUGUACCAUAUGAGUAAAGAACGGCUAACCCGGUUCCAGCAGCCGCGGUACUACGGAGGAUCCGAGCGUUAUCCGGAUUUAUGGGGUUUAACGGGAGCGUAGGUGGAUUGUUAAGUCAGUUGUGAAAGUUUGCGGCUCAACCGUAAAAUUGCAGUUGAUACUGGCAGUCUUGAGUACAGUAGAGGUGGGCGGAAUUCGUGGUGUAGCGGUGAAAUGCUUAGAUAUCACGAAGAACUCCGAUUGCGAAGGCAGCUCACUGGAC